GCAGGCAAUGAUGACACACUUGCCCUCACUGAGAUCCGUUGCAGAGAUUGUUGUUGAGAACGUCCUCUGUGCUCACUGUGGGCUGAGCCUCC
rfam:Eurypyga helias contig94061, whole genome shotgun sequence.